rnacentral:rRNA from 1 species
GACGAACGCUGGCGGCGUGCUUAACACAUGCAAGUCGAACGGAAAGGCCCUGCUUUUGUGGGGUGCUCGAGUGGCGAACGGGUGAGUAACACGUGAGUAACCUGCCCUUGACUUUGGGAUAACUUCAGGAAACUGGGGCUAAUACCGGAUAGGAGCUCCUGCUGCAUGGUGGGGGUUGGAAAGUUUCGGCGGUUGGGGAUGGACUCGCGGCUUAUCAGCUUGUUGGUGGGGUAGUGGCUUACCAAGGCUUUGACGGGUAGCCGGCCUGAGAGGGUGACCGGCCACGUUGGGACUGAGAUACGACCCAGACUCCUACGGGAGGCAGCAGUGGGGAAUAUUGCACAAUGGGCGGAGGCCUGAUGCAGCAACGCCGCGUGCGGGAUGACGGCCUUCGGGUUGUAAUCCGCUUUCGCCUGUGACGAGGCGUGAGUGACGGUAAUGGGUAAAGAAGCACCGGCUAACUACGUG